AAUGAACGCUGGCGGCAGGCCUAACACAUGCAAGUCGAACGGGUCCUUCGGGACUAGUGGCGGACGGGUGAGUAACGCGUGGGAACAUACCCAAAGGUACGGAAUAGCCUCGGGAAACUGGGAGUAAUACCGUAUGUGGUCGAGAGACGAAAGAUUUAUCGCCUUUGGAUUGGCCCGCGUUGGAUUAGGUAGUUGGUGGGGUAAUGGCCUACCAAGCCGACGAUCCAUAGCUGGUUUGAGAGGAUGAUCAGCCACACUGGGACUGAGACACGGCCCAGACUCCUACGGGAGGCAGCAGUGGGGAAUCUUAGACAAUGGGGGAAACCCUGAUCUAGCCAUGCCGCGUGAUCGAUGAAGGCCUUAGGGUUGUAAAGAUCUUUCAGAUGGGAAGAUAAUGACGGUACCAUCAGAAGAAGCCCCGGCUAACUCCGUGCCAGCCGCCGCGGUAA
rnacentral:rRNA from 1 species